GACGAACGCUGGCGGCGUGCUUAACACAUGCAAGUCGAACGGAAAGGCCCUGCUUGCAGGGUACUCGAGUGGCGAACGGGUGAGUAACACGUGGGUGAUCUGCCCUGCACUUCGGGAUAAGCUUGGGAAACUGGGUCUAAUACCGGAUAGGAACCAUCUUUAGUGCGGUGGUUGGAAAGUUUUUUCGGUGUAGGAUGAGCUCGCGGCCUAUCAGCUUGUUGGUGGGGUAAUGGCCUACCAAGGCGGCGACGGGUAGCCGGCCUGAGAGGGUGUACGGCCACAUUGGGACUGAGAUACGGCCCAGACUCCUACGGGAGGCAGCAGUGGGGAAUAUUGCACAAUGGGCGCAAGCCUGAUGCAGCGACGCCGCGUGGGGGAUGAAGGCCUUCGGGUUGUAAACUCCUUUCGCUAGGGACGAAGCUUUGUUGUGACGGUACCUAGAUAAGAAGCACCGGCUAACUACGUG
rnacentral:rRNA from 1 species